rfam:Triticum aestivum genome assembly, contig: Triticum_aestivum_CS42_TGACv1_scaffold_329093_4BS
CUAGUACUCCCUUUGUCUCAAAAUUCUUGUCUUAGAUUUGUCUAAAUACGGAUGUAUCUAGGUACGUUUUAGUGUUAGAUACAUCUGUAUCGGGACAGAUUUAAGACAUGAAUUUUGGGAUGGAGGGAGUAUCUG